GUCCCCGGCGUCCGGGCGCCCUGCAUGGAUCCCCCACCCCAGCUCCUGCUCCCCGGCGGCGGCCGGUGGGCAGAAAGACCGAAACCCACUCACGGCCGCCUGCCGAAUCGCGGCUCUGCUGUUUGUGGGGCGUGCUAGAAACGUGGUCCUAAAAAGAAUGGCGUCCAUUUACAUAAUGCUUUGUUUGCGUUUCGCAAGUUUCUUUCGGUUAAAGCCACAGAAACCCCACCUCCUGCCCUUGUGUCGUUUCCACCGCGGCACCCUUUUCCGACAUUAGAAACAAUAGUGUACGCCUGUGGAGGCCUCGUUUGUUCAGGGGCUGCCGGCCAGGGCUUCAGGACGUUUCUGCGGCUUUCCCCGCGCGGCCUGGGCUCCCGCGGCUGCUUUUCGGGCCCAUGGGCGCAGCCACUGCGCCAGGCUCAAGGGGGGCGGCCCCGUCAGGGCCCGCCAUCUUGGAAGGCCUUUUUUGCCGGUUCUUCCCGCUGAGGAAGUGUCGCUCAAGACGCUGGCCUAUGAGUUGUGAUUUCUGCCUUUUCCCCUUCCUCCUUGGGCUAAGCCAGACCAGAAAGGGCCCCGUGCGCAACGUGCUUCACAAUCUCUCAGGGAAAGCGGCUAACGUGGCGCUACUCCGCCUCCCCUGUUCCUUACCCUUGGGGCGGCCGCCAUGUUUCCUGAACACAAAAUGGCGACACGUGGUUAGCAUUCGUCGCCAACGAGAAAUUGGGGUCGGCCCGAAAGCUCUAGAAUGCACCCCUCUUCCUCCCCGGGGCCUUCCACCUCCGCGAGUUUUAUGACUUAAAAAAGCCCACAGGCUGGUCUGAAGGUCGGAGGCCUAAUUUUAACGCGUUUUCCUCCCUUUAAUUUGAAACGGGAACGCGAAUGACUGUAAAAUGUGGGCACAAUAUUUAAUCUCUCGCCUUUUUAAAGCUUAAUAGUGGAUAAUAGGGGGGCAGUAUCAAGGGAUAAUUUGGGUCCCCACAGUACCAAAGCAUUUAGAAACCUCUGUUUAAUUUAAGGAAUGAGAUAAGUUACUGCUUUUCUAGACUUCCUAGCAUGGGCUGUUGUGCUGGAGAGAACGAGAGCUACGAAGAGACUACAGUGCCUCUGACUUUUUCAUAGGACAGUUGGCCGAGGAAGACAAACAUAAAGAUGAAGUGCUUAAUUCAAGGUCACACAAUGUCGGGGAUGGACCUCCAGAUUUCCUUACUGACCUGCAUUAUCUUGUGGAUACCUGAGUGAAUUCCACACCACCCAUUUUAUAGAUGAAACCACUGAGACAUGGAGCAAUUGACUGAGUAGUCACUGCCCCACCCCUGCCUGGAGCCUCACACAUGACUCGCCUCCUCUCAGUGACCACAGGUUGGUUGAGGGGUUUAACAAGGCUAAGAAGGUGAGACGUGGUCUUGUAACACAGUGGUUAAGAAUGUGACUUUGGAGCCAGCCUGCUAGGGGCUGAAUUCUGACUCAGCCAUUUACUAACUGUGUGACCUUAGUCUGUCUAGUGACUGGUGUUGUCAUAAGAAGAGAGGGACACAGAGGGAAGAUGGCCACAUGAAGAUGGAGGCAGAGAUUGCAGUUAUGCUGCUGCAAACUAAGGAAUGGCUCUGGCCCUCCAAGGAUUGCUGAUAACCACCAGAAACUAGAAGAGACAAGGAAGGAUUCUUCCCUAGAGCCUUCAGAGGGAGCAUGGCCCUACUGACACCUGGAUUUCAAACUUGUAGCUUCCUAAACUGCAAGAGAAUAAAUUUCUGUUGUUUUAAGCCA
rnacentral:lncRNA from 1 species